UGGAUUCAGCGGCGGACGGGUGAGUAAUGCCUAGGAAUCUGCCUGGUAGUGGGGGACAACGUUUCGAAAGGAACGCUAAUACCGCAUACGUCCUACGGGAGAAAGCAGGGGACCUUCGGGCCUUGCGCUAUCAGAUGAGCCUAGGUCGGAUUAGCUAGUUGGUGAGGUAAUGGCUCACCAAGGCGACGAUCCGUAACUGGUCUGAGAGGAUGAUCAGUCACACUGGAACUGAGACACGGUCCAGACUCCUACGGGAGGCAGCAGUGGGGAAUAUUGGACAAUGGGCGAAAGCCUGAUCCAGCCAUGCCGCGUGUGUGAAGAAGGUCUUCGGAUUGUAAAGCACUUUAAGUUGGGAGGAAGGGCUGUAAAUUAAUACUUUGCUGUUUUGACGUUACCGACAGAAUAAGCACCGGCUAACUCUGUGCCAGCAGCCGCGGUAAUACAGAGGGUGCAAGCGUUAAUCGGAAUUACUGGGCGUAAAGCGCGCGUAGGUGGUUUGUUAAGUUGGAUGUGAAAUCCCCGGGCUCAACCUGGGAACUGCAUCCAAAACUGGCAAGCUAGAGUAUGGUAGAGGGUGGUGGAAUUUCCUGUGUAGCGGUGAAAUGCGUAGAUAUAGGAAGGAACACCAGUGGCGAANGCGACCACCUGGACUGAUACUGACACUGAGGUGCGAAAGCGUGGGGAGCAAACAGGA
rnacentral:rRNA from 1 species